rnacentral:rRNA from 1 species
UUCCGGCGAUCAUAUCUGAAAGGUUAUACCUGUUCCCAUUCCGAACACAGUAGUCAAGCUUUCAGAGCCGAUGAUAGUGCCCACCAGCGUGAAAGUAGGUCUUGCCGGAU